UACAGAGGUCCCAAGCGUUUGUUCGGAUUCACUGGGCGUAAAGGGUGCGUAGGUGGUUAGGUAAGUCCGAUGUGAAAUCUCCAGGCUCAACCUGGAAAUGGCAUUGGAUACUAUCUAGCUCGAGGAGUGGAGGGGGGGACUGGAAUUCCGAGUGUAGAGGUGAAAUUCGUAGAUAUUCGGAAGAACACCAGUGGCGAAGGCGACUCGCUUGGACAGGUAUUGACGCUGAGGUGCGAAAGCGUGGGGAGCAAACAGGG
rnacentral:rRNA from 1 species